UUGAACGCUGGCGGCAGGCCUAACACAUGCAAGUCGAGCGGUAGCACAGAGAGCUUGCUCUCGGGUGACGAGCGGCGGACGGGUGAGUAAUGUCUGGGAAACUGCCUGAUGGAGGGGGAUAACUACUGGAAACGGUAGCUAAUACCGCAUAACGUCGCAAGACCAAAGUGGGGGACCUUCGGGCCUCAUGCCAUCAGAUGUGCCCAGAUGGGAUUAGCUAGUAGGUGGGGUAACGGCUCACCUAGGCGACGAUCCCUAGCUGGUCUGAGAGGAUGACCAGCCACACUGGAACUGAGACACGGUCCAGACUCCUACGGGAGGCAGCAGUGGGGAAUAUUGCACAAUGGGCGCAAGCCUGAUGCAGCCAUGCCGCGUGUGUGAAGAAGGCCUUCGGGUUGUAAAGCACUUUCAGCGGGGAGGAAGGCGGUGAGGUUAAUAACCUCAUCGAUUGACGUUACCCGCAGAAGAAGCACCGGCUAACUCCGUGCCAGCAGCCGCGGUAAUACGGAGGGUGCAAGCGUUAAUCGGAAUUACUGGGCGUAAAGCGCACGCAGGCGGUCUGUCAAGUCGGAUGUGAAAUCCCCGGGCUCAACCUGGGAACUGCAUUCGAAACUGGCAGGCUAGAGUCUUGUAGAGGGGGGUAGAAUUCCAGGUGUAGCGGUGAAAUGCGUAGAGAUCUGGAGGAAUACCGGUGGCGAAGGCGGCCCCCUGGACAAAGACUGACGCUCAGGUGCGAAAGCGUGGGGAGCAAACAGGAUUAGAUACCCUGGUAGUCCACGCCGUAAACGAUGUCGAUUUGGAGGUUGUGCCCUUGAGGCGUGGCUUCCGGAGCUAACGCGUUAAAUCGACCGCCUGGGGAGUACGGCCGCAAGGUUAAAACUCAAAUGAAUUGACGGGGGCCCGCACAAGCGGUGGAGCAUGUGGUUUAAUUCGAUGCAACGCGAAGAACCUUACCUGGUCUUGACAUCCACAGAACUUUCCAGAGAUGGAUUGGUGCCUUCGGGAACUGUGAGACAGGUGCUGCAUGGCUGUCGUCAGCUCGUGUUGUGAAAUGUUGGGUUAAGUCCCGCAACGAGCGCAACCCUUAUCCUUUGUUGCCAGCGGUUCGGCCGGGAACUCAAAGGAGACUGCCAGUGAUAAACUGGAGGAAGGUGGGGAUGACGUCAAGUCAUCAUGGCCCUUACGACCAGGGCUACACACGUGCUACAAUGGCAUAUACAAAGAGAAGCGACCUCGCGAGAGCAAGCGGACCUCAUAAAGUAUGUCGUAGUCCGGAUUGGAGUCUGCAACUCGACUCCAUGAAGUCGGAAUCGCUAGUAAUCGUAGAUCAGAAUGCUACGGUGAAUACGUUCCCGGGCCUUGUACACACCGCCCGUCACACCAUGGGAGUGGGUUGCAAAAGAAGUAGGUAGCUUAACCUUCGGGAGGGCGCUUACCACUUUGUGAUUCAUGACUGGGGUG
rnacentral:rRNA from 1 species